GGUGCGCACAUCAGGCAGAUUGUUGAGCAAGCGCGGAGCUACCGGCCGAAGGACAGCAGGAAAGUGUACAGAGGCUUGUGGGGCCUACGGUGGCUGACAGGAGUCAAGUCAUGACGGGGUGAAGGUUGUCCCAGGAAAAGCAAGUGCAGAGACAUCAAGAUUAUGGAAAAUUUCAAACAUACCUAAAGAAGAGGGAGGGAAAGAUAUAACUAACUCCCAUAUGCCCAUCCCCCAUGUUCAGUGUGGCCACUGUUGUUUCAUUAUCCCAACACCCCUUCUUGAGCCCCUUAAGUUAUUUUGAAGCAAAUUCCCCACAUUUCAUCCCAAAACACUUCAGUCUGUGUCUCUAAUAAGAGGACUCUCUCUUUUAAACAAUAUCAUUAUCACACCAUUCAAA